rnacentral:rRNA from 1 species
GAGAGUUUGAUCCUGGCUCAGGAUGAACGCUAGCUACAGGCUUAACACAUGCAAGUCGAGGGGCAGCAUGGUCUUAGCUUGCUAAGGCCGAUGGCGACCGGCGCACGGGUGAGUAACACGUAUCCAACCUGCCGUCUACUCUUGGACAGCCUUCUGAAAGGAAGAUUAAUACAAGAUGGCAUCAUGAGUCCACAUGUUCACAUGAUUAAAGGUAUUCCGGUAGACGAUGGGGAUGCGUUCCAUUAGAUAGUAGGCGGGGUAACGGCCCACCUAGUCUUCGAUGGAUAGGGGUUCUGAGAGGAAGGUCCCCCACAUUGGAACUGAGACACGGUCCAAACUCCUACGGGAGGCAGCAGUGAGGAAUAUUGGUCAAUGGGCGAGAGCCUGAACCAGCCAAGUAGCGUGAAGGAUGACUGCCCUAUGGGUUGUAAACUUCUUUUAUAAAGGAAUAAAGUCGGGUAUGCAUACCCGUUUGCAUGUACUUUAUGAAUAAGGAUCGGCUAACUCCGUGCCAGCAGCCGCGGUAAUACGGAGGAUCCGAGCGUUAUCCGGAUUUAUUGGGUUUAAAGGGAGCGUAGAUGGAUGUUUAAGUCAGUUGUGAAAGUUUGCGGCUCAACCGUAAAAUUGCAGUUGAUACUGGAUGUCUUGAGUGCAGUUGAGGCAGGCGGAAUUCGUGGUGUAGCGGUGAAAUGCUUAGAUAUCACGAAGAACUCCGAUUGCGAAGGCAGCCUGCUAAGCUGCAACUGACAUUGAGGCUCGAAAGUGUGGGUAUCAAACAGGAUUAGAUACCCUGGUAGUCCACACGGUAAACGAUGAAUACUCGCUGUUUGCGAUAUACUGCAAGCGGCCAAGCGAAAGCGUUAAGUAUUCCACCUGGGGAGUACGCCGGCAACGGUGAAACUCAAAGGAAUUGACGGGGGCCCGCACAAGCGGAGGAACAUGUGGUUUAAUACGAUGAUACGCGAGGAACCUUACCCGGGCUUAAAUUGCAGAUGAAUUACGGUGAAAGCCGUAAGCCGCAAGGCAUCUGUGAAGGUGCUGCAUGGUUGUCGUCAGCUCGUGCCGUGAGGUGUCGGCUUAAGUGCCAUAACGAGCGCAACCCUUGUUGUCAGUUACUAACAGGUUCUGCUGAGGACUCUGACAAGACUGCCAUCGUAAGAUGUGAGGAAGGUGGGGAUGACGUCAAAUCAGCACGGCCCUUACGUCCGGGGCUACACACGUGUUACAAUGGGGGGUACAGAGGGCCGCUACCACGCGAGUGGAUGCCAAUCCCAAAAACCUCUCUCAGUUCGGACUGGAGUCUGCAACCCGACUCCACGAAGCUGGAUUCGCUAGUAAUCGCGCAUCAGCCACGGCGCGGUGAAUACGUUCCCGGGCCUUGUACACACCGCCCGUCAAGCCAUGGGAGCCGGGGGUACCUGAAGUGCGUAACCGCGAGGAGCGCCCUAGGGUAAAACUGGUGACUGGGGCUAAGUCGUAACAAGGUAGCCG